GAAUGGUUGAAGCAUUUGGGAGUGUUUAGUUUUGAUAAAAGGUAAGAGGUGACAUGAUAGACAUUUAUAAAAUUAUGCAUAACAUGGAGAAAGUGGAUAGAUAAUUUGUUUUUUAUCCCCCACUCGUAACACUAGAACUCAUUGCCAUCCAAUAAAGUUGAAUGUUGGAAGACUUAGGAUAGAUAAAAUACAGUGGUUCUUUAGUCAACCCCUAGUUAAACUAUGGAACUCAUUCCUGCAGGAGGCAGUGAUGGUUAUCAGCUUGGAUGGCUAUAGAAGAGGACUGAACAAAUUCAUGGAGGACAAGGCUUUCAAUGUCUAUGCUCUAUCUCCAUGGCAGGAGACAUUAUGCUUCUGAACACCAGUUGCUGGAAACUGCUGGAAACUGCAGGAGGGGCGAGAGCUGUUGUACUUGGGUCUGCUUGUGGGUUUCCCACAGGCAUCUGAUUAGAUGGGCUAGAUGGACCGCUGGCAUGAUCUCACAG